GCAAAGGCAGCUCAAGCGUCUCAUCCGACGUGAGUUCAAGCACAGAUCAUACACCAACCAAAGCCCAGAGGAAUGUGGCCACCAGCGAAGGUAGGCAGCCCUGCUCUUCCUCUCUCCUCUUCCCUUCCCCAGAGCUGGCUGUUUGAAAGGCAGAGAAUGUGGGAGAUUUACUCCUAGUUUACUGCAUGGGAGUCUAUCAGAUUGUUUAAAAGGAGAAGGCAACGAUGUCCCAAGGUUUGCUUUCUUCACUGUUGGUAUUGCCAUUGAAUUUGGCUUGGUGGGAUUUAAGUGUCUUAACAUGAAGGCACAUGGCAUUAUUUUGCCAACACAUGAUAGGCUGACUCAAGCAAAGCCACUAUGACAUCAUAUACCCAUAUUCCAAUAUGGCAAAAUGGUAUGAUCCAAGUUGUAAGUUUCUGCAAGAAUGUGCAAGAUAGUUGUUCCUUAAAUUCAGACUGUGCCGAUAGGAGGGUCACAAUCCUGACAUACGUAGGACUUGAUUAAUCAUGGAAGCUUGGGAUAUGCAAAAAAAAAAAAAAAAAGCUUCAUUUCAUUAUUUAAAUAAUAUGUGGUAAUACAUCACUAUUAAACAUGACCAUUUUUGCAUACAUGAUUGAUGGGGGGUUUUGCUGUUGUAUCUGUGGAAGUACAUGUUGGGAUUCAAUUGCUUCCCAGGAAACUCUGAGCUAAUACUUGAUUGAGGAAUUUUUUCCUAUGGUAUUUAGUAGAAAGUUGACCCAAUUUUUUUUUUUUUACCCUUACUGUAAAACACAAUAGAUAAUUUCCUUUCUGAAUAAGAGUUCCCUCUGAAUUAAUUAUCCAACAAAGGUUGUUUUUGUGCCGUUGAUGCUAGAAGGUGUUUUAAAUAGGGUCAGCUUGCUUGCGUAUUUUAUGCAUCCAGGUUUUCUCAGGUAUACAGGGUGCUAAGGCAACUUGUGUGCAGUUUUGUUUUGGAGGCUGCUCCUAAGAUCAGGAGUCGCACUCCCAGGCUGACAUUGGCCCAUUGCUUUCUUACGUUCCGUUUUUCUGUACUGGGAUUCAUGUAUCUGAUGCUGCUGCUUCUUCUCCACUGGUUUCUCUUCGCUUCUCAUCUCAUAUUCUCUGUCUGGGGUCAGGGAGCACAGAAUGCCCUUCUCGGGGCUCAUUAUUCUCAGACCAGUGUAUAGGUGGCUUGGAUGGCUGGAUUAUACUCAUUUGUGUUUAGAGCUUUGCAUUAUUUCUUGUGUAUCAGCAGCUUCUAAGGCAGAUGGAUUGGUGUGUUCUAUGUAGCACAGCAAAGGGCCAGGUAGCAAUCCAAUUUUAAUUUUCCGCUAGCUAAGGGGCAUUUGAUCAUUCUUGAAAUUCAGUGAAGGCAGUGAGCAAUCCUCACUGUUUGCUUGUCACCACUUGCUUUUGGGAUCUCUGUUACAAGGAAACAGACUGAAAAUUGCUCCCGUUUAUUCAGAGUGGUUCUCUUCAGCUAAGAGACCUUUUAUGAGAUUCUCAACGCUUCACACUAGUUCAACGCUUUACUCCUGCCACAUCUGUGUGUCUAUUAUGAAAAUGGUUAAAUUUUUAAAUAAGUUGUGUCUGCCAGUGUUGAUGUUUUCUCAUUAUUCUCUUUUCAUAGAACAUGCUGGUGUUUUCUUGAAAGAAUUGGGAAAAGAUAUUCUAGGAUCCUUUGCACUUAAAAAUGUUGUUCUCCAUGUUUAAAAAUAAAAUAAAGGAAGCCUAGGGGCCUCAUGUUUCCUUUGCUUUUCUCUCCCCACACACCAGGGAGAGGUACUGGUUUCCAUAAUAAUGUUUUAUACAGUUUGUCACGAUUGUAUUUUCUGGCAUUAUGAAAAUAAUACCAGUGUAAAAGACUACAAAAAUUUGAUAUUCUUAUGAAACCGGAUUUUUACUAAUGGGCUACAUUAGUGUGGGGUCCCUUUCCAGAUCUCAGAUGGAAAAGCCCCAUCUAUGUGGAAGAUGUUGUUUAGUUGGAGAGCUGAAAAUAGUAAAAAAAAAAAAUU
rnacentral:lncRNA from 1 species